rnacentral:rRNA from 1 species
GAUGAACGCUGGCGGCGUGCUUAACACAUGCAAGUCGAACGGAAAGGCCCAAGCUUGCUUGGGUACUCGAGUGGCGAACGGGUGAGUAACACGUGGGUGAUCUGCCCUGCACUUCGGGAUAAGCCUGGGAAACUGGGUCUAAUACCGGAUAGGACCACAUUUUGGAUGGUGUGGUGGAACGUUUUUCGGUGUGGGAUGAGCUCGCGGCCUAUCAGCUUGUUGGUGGGGUAAUGGCCUACCAAGGCGUCGACGGGUAGCCGGCCUGAGAGGGUGUACGGCCACAGUGGGACUGAGAUACGGGCCAGACUCCUACGGGAGGCAGCAGUGGGGAAUAUUGCACAAUGGGCGCAAGCCUGAUGCAUCGACGCCGCGUGGGGGAUGACGGCCUUCGGGUUGUAAACUCCUUUCGCUAGGGACGAAGCGUUUUUGUGACGGUACCUGGAGAAGAAGCACCGGCUAACUACGUG